GAAGACACCUCAGUUGUGGGGGGCUUUUUGAGAGAUUCCUUUUUGAGUCAGACUCCUUUUUAAGACUACCUUUGCUUUUGUGUGCCAAUUUUCUGCUACCACAUGUUGUUGUCUGUUUAAGUUUUGUUUUUGGUACUUUCCUGUUGUAGGUUGCAGGUGGUCAGGCAGUUUCCUUGUUUUAACGCGUUUUUAGAUGGUUAGUCCAGAGCAGGAAGAAGUUUGCUGGAAGACUCACUCGUUUUGCUUUGCCUGGGUAGUGAGGUUUAGAACGGUGAAAAUUGGGAAAUACUGGGCCUGACCCCCAGAAAAACCAGGAAGUGAGGUAAAAACACUCAUCAGUGGAAAGUAAAAAUACACAAAAACAGAAGCAAGGAAAACAUCCCUGUAUGUUCCACUUCACCCAGAGCAGCUGCACACAGCUGCCAGAGGCCAGAGAGGGUGGAGCUGGGCCUGGGAGACCAAUGAACUGAGAAGCAAAUCAGACUGGAGACCAAUUAGAUCCUCAGUUUCCUCUGCAUUCAGACUGCUAUGUCUCUACUGCUGAAGGGACAGGAAACACUGCUCUGCUCUCCAGGCUGUUCCCAGGUCUGUGGUUCUGGGGUUCUGUGGGACUUCCUGUUUGAAAUGCUCAUGGGGAUUUCCCAUAAUUCACGGCCCCCUCCAACGGACAGUGCCAACCUGCUGGACCAAACAGUUUGCUUCUGCUAAUUUUAUGGGACAUCUUUUCUUCAACCUUUGUUGUUAUGUCCAAUGGACCUUUUUUAUCUAUAAAUCAAUCCUCAGUAUUUGUAAUAGGAUGUUAUUUGGCAAAACUGAGCAUGUGGAAAACGUACACCGCGGUGACAUUUUAAUAGAAAAGCAUUUUUUUAAAUGCCGCAACUGUCUUUGGGCUUUUUCUACAGCUGAGUCUUUGAACUCUUUAAACUGACAUUGAAGUCAAUGCAAAAUUUUCACGCCUUCGUGUCUUUCCAUGUUUUGCAAAAGCGUUCACUCGUGUUUUCUUUUAAGAAGGUUGGGGAGACGGGGGAGUGUUUGGGGGGGGAGGGGGGGGGGGCGGGGGCUACGAGGGCUCUGUGCGCUGCAUCACGUCCCUGUGACCGACGGCGCUCCGGCGCGGGAUGGAAAAUGUGAAUAAGGCGGGGGAGGCUGCGGCGGAGAAGGCAGAUGAGUCUUCCUCAGGGGCUUGCUCGCUCGCUAGCUCGCUUGCUCGCCCGGCCUGCUUCUUGUAAAGUGUCAGGGACCUGGAGUCCUCCAGAUGUGUGUUGUGUUUACGCUGUCCAAAUCCCCCCAGAGAGGCCUGCAUUUGGCCGCGCGUCCCGCGCUCGCAGAGCUGGGGGAGACGGAGCCCUAAUUAUGGAAAGUUGGCAGGCGGGGGAGCGGGGAGAGAGAGAGAGAGCGCUGAGGUGGGGAGCAACGGAAAGAAUGAGAUUAAAGCCAAAGAAACGCAGCAAUAAAGUUUAUGAGACAAAAAGA